UAGCAUUCUAAAAGACCAUAUACCAUUAUCUUUGGAGCUCUAUACAAAACUGUAGCUACUGUUACAUUCCAGUUAUUCUGGUUAUUAGUUUUAUCAGACGAGGCACUGCUUGUAAACGCUCUAAAUUACUAACAUUGUCUCCUUAGAAUCCUUAGGGCCAUCUCUGAUUGAGCAUUCCCGUGUGGCACAGCAAGGGCUGGUUUUGCUAACUAAACAAAAGUCACAAAGUCCGCUGUUUAAACUCAAUUUAACCCCUCCUAUGCCGCUGCUUGCUGAACAGUCAAAACUGCAGGGUAAAGGUGAUUUCGGAUAAUGGAGUUUAUUCUGCGUUCCUUUAAAUAGCUGCGUGUAACGAGAAAACUACAAUACCCAACCUCCUUGUGGUGCAUGUUCGCCCCCACCCCAGUCACAUGAUCUCGAAUCCCCUCCCAGUUUUGCGGUGUGGAGAAGGUUGCAGUAUUUUUCUGUCACUUGGCUCUGUGCUUUCCAGCUGGGCGCUACGUAGCGGAGAGACUCCGGUUUAGCCAUGUCGGACACAGGCGGCGGAGACGAUAGUUCCGCCAACCUGGAAGUGUCGGCUGCUGUGCAAAACGUGGCAGAUACGUCUGUUCUGCAGAAGCACAUUCGCAAGCUUGUGCCGCUGCUGUUGGAAGAUGGCGGCGAGACACCAGCAUCUUUGGAGUCCGCCCUGGAAGAGAAGAGCGCGUUGGAGCAAAUGAGGAAAUUCCUCUCCGACCCACAGAUUCACACUAUCCUAGUGGAGAGAAGCACCCUGAAGGAGGAUGUUGGCGAUGAAGGAGAGGAAGAGAAGGAAUUCAUUUCUUAUAAUGUCAGCAUUGAUAUUCAUUAUGGGAUGAAAUCAAACAGCUUGGCGUUUAUUAAGCGGACACUGGUCAUUGAUGCAGACAAACCUAUUUCAUCUCAGCUUCGGGUUCUUACGCUUAGUGAAGAUUCCCCUUAUGAAACAUUACACUCUUUUAUCAGCAAUGCAGUUGGCCCAUUUUUCAAAUCUUACAUUCGAGAAUCUGGGAAAGCAGACAGAGACGGUGAUAAAAUGGCUCCAUCUGUUGAGAAGAAGAUAGCAGAGCUUGAAAUGGGCCUCUUGCAUUUACAGCAGAAUAUCGAAAUACCAGAGAUCAGUUUACUGAUUCAUCCAAAUAUUACUAAUGUUGCAAAACAAUGCUAUGAGCGGGGAGAGAAGCCAAAAGUCACAGAUUUUGGAGACAAAGUUGAAGAUCCUACAUUCCUCAACCAGUUACAAUCAGGAGUUAACCGCUGGAUUAGAGAGAUACAAAAGGUGACUAAAUUAGAUCGAGAUCCAGCAUCAGGAACUGCUCUGCAAGAAAUUAGUUUUUGGCUUAAUUUGGAGAGAGCUUUAUACCGCAUUCAAGAAAAACGAGAGAGCCCAGAGGUUCUCCUUACCCUGGAUAUCUUAAAGCAUGGAAAACGUUUCCAUGCCACAGUGAGUUUUGACACAGAUACAGGCCUUAAACAAGCUUUGGAAACCGUAAAUGAUUACAAUCCUCUAAUGAAAGACUUUCCGCUGAAUGACCUGUUGUCUGCCACAGAGCUUGACAAAAUAAGACAAGCCCUUGUAGCAAUAUUCACUCACCUCAGGAAAAUCAGGAACACAAAAUAUCCUAUUCAGAGGGCAUUGCGCCUUGUGGAAGCCAUCUCACGGGAUCUCAGCUCCCAACUUCUUAAAGUUUUGGGAACAAGAAAACUUAUGCAUGUUGCAUAUGAAGAGUUUGAAAAGGUCAUGGUUGCCUGUUUUGAAGUUUUCCAAACCUGGGAUGAUGAAUAUGAGAAGCUUCAGGUUCUUUUGAGAGACAUUGUCAAGCGAAAGCGUGAAGAAAAUUUAAAAAUGGUCUGGAGAAUUAAUCCCGCUCACCGGAAACUACAAGCUCGUUUGGACCAGAUGAGAAAAUUUAGACGACAGCAUGAGCAGCUUAGGGCUGUGAUUGUUCGGGUUCUCAGACCACAGGUCACGGCUGUUGCUCAGCAGAACCAGGGAGAGGUCCCUGAACCCCAAGACAUGAAAGUAGCUGAAGUACUUUUUGAUGCUGCUGACGCUAAUGCAAUUGAAGAGGUAAAUCUUGCAUAUGAGAACGUUAAAGAAGUAGAUGGAUUAGAUGUUUCCAAAGAAGGCACGGAAGCUUGGGAAGCAGCCCUCAAGCGAUAUGAUGAAAGAAUCGACAGAGUAGAAACCAGGAUCACUGCUCGCCUGCGAGAUCAGCUGGGCACAGCAAAAAAUGCUAAUGAAAUGUUCAGAAUAUUCUCAAGGUUUAAUGCUCUCUUUGUCCGACCACAUAUCCGAGGAGCAAUUCGUGAGUAUCAAACACAGCUUAUCCAGCGUGUAAAAGAUGACAUUGAAUCCCUUCAUGAUAAGUUUAAGGUGCAGUACCCUCAAAGUCAAGCUUGCAAGAUGAGUCAUGUUCGGGACUUGCCACCAGUGUCUGGUUCUAUUAUUUGGGCUAAGCAAAUUGAUAGACAGUUGACUGCCUAUAUGAAGCGUGUGGAAGAUGUUCUUGGAAAAGGAUGGGAAAAUCAUGUAGAAGGACAGAAGUUAAAGCAAGAUGGGGACAGCUUCCGUAUGAAGCUCAACACUCAAGAAAUUUUUGAUGAUUGGGCUAGAAAAGUUCAGCAGAGAAACCUUGGGGUUUCUGGACGUAUUUUUACAAUAGAAAGCACACGUGCCCGUGGGCGAACUGGGAAUGUUCUCAAAUUAAAGGUCAACUUUCUGCCUGAAAUUAUAACACUCUCAAAAGAAGUUCGAAACUUGAAGUGGCUUGGGUUCCGAGUUCCAUUGGCAAUUGUUAAUAAGGCUCACCAGGCAAAUCAGCUGUAUCCCUUUGCAAUAUCUCUGAUUGAAAGUGUUCGUACUUAUGAACGUACUUGUGAAAAAGUGGAGGAGCGCAACAGUAUCAGCUUACUGGUUGCUGGCUUGAAGAAAGAAGUACAAGCUCUGAUUGCAGAAGGUAUUGCAUUGGUGUGGGAGUCCUACAAGCUUGACCCUUAUGUUCAGCGAUUGGCAGAGACUGUUUUUAACUUUCAAGAAAAGGUCGAUGACCUUCUUAUUAUUGAAGAAAAAAUUGACUUGGAAGUUCGGUCAUUGGAAACUUGUAUGUACGAUCAUAAAACCUUUUCUGAAAUCUUAAAUAGAGUUCAAAAAGCCGUUGAUGAUUUGAACCUUCACUCUUAUUCCAAUCUUCCUAUCUGGGUCAAUAAACUUGAUAUGGAGAUUGAGAGAAUCCUGGGAGGUCGUCUUCAGGCUGGUUUAAAAACCUGGACUCUGGUCCUAAUGGGGCAAUCUGAUGACAAAGCAGAUGUUGACAUGGACACAGAUGCUCCUCAAGUUAGUCAUAAACCAGGAGGAGAGCCAAAAAUCAAAAAUGUUGUACAUGAACUUCGAAUUACCAACCAAGUUAUUUACCUGAAUCCACCAAUUGAAGAUUGUAGGUAUAAACUUUACCAGGAAAUGUUCUCAUGGAAAAUGGUGAUUCUGUCACUGCCAAGAAUUCAGAGCCAAAGAUAUCAGGUUGGGGUCCAUUAUGAACUGUCGGAAGAAGAAAAGUAUUACAGGAAUGCACUGACCCGAAUGCCAGAUGGUCCGGCAAGUCUUGAAGAAGCUUACUCUGCUGUUAUGGGUAUAGUAACUGAAGUGGAACAGUAUGUUAAGGUAUGGUUGCAAUACCAAUGCCUAUGGGAUAUGCAAGCUGAAAACAUCUAUAAUCGCCUUGGAGAAGAUCUAAAUAAAUGGCAAGCACUACUGGUUCAGAUCAGAAAGGCCAGAGGAACAUUUGACAAUGCAGAAACUAGAAAGGAAUUUGGACCUGUAAUCAUUGACUAUGGAAAGGUUCAGUCUAAAGUGAACUUGAAGUAUGAUUCCUGGCACAAAGAGGUCCUAAGUAAAUUUGGUCAAAUGCUUGGACAAAACAUGACAGAAUUUCAUUCUCAGAUUUCAAAGUCUCGUCAAGAAUUGGAGCAACAUUCGGUUGACACUGCCAGUACUUCCGAUGCUGUGACUUUCAUUACAUAUGUUCAGUCCCUGAAAAGGAAGAUAAAGCAGUUUGAAAAGCAAGUAGAUCUGUACCGUAAUGGACAGCGUUUGCUUGAGAAACAAAGAUUUCAGUUUCCAUCUUCCUGGCUCUAUAUUGACAACAUUGAAGGAGAGUGGGGGGCAUUUAAUGACAUAAUGCGUCGUAAGGAUUCUGCUAUCCAACAGCAAGUUGCAAAUCUUCAGAUGAAAAUAGUUCAAGAAGACAGAGCAGUGGAAAGUCGGACAAUUGAUUUGCUGACUGACUGGGAGAAGACUAAGCCUGUAGCUGGAAAUCUGCGUCCUGAAGAAGCACUUCAAGCACUGACAAUUUACGAAGGAAAAUUUGGCAGACUGAAAGAUGACCGUGAAAAAUGUGCCAAAGCCAAAGAAGCACUUGAAUUAACUGAUACUGGGCUAUUGAGUGGCAGUGAAGAACGAGUUCAGGUAGCUCUAGAGGAACUGCAAGAUCUGAAAGGUGUUUGGUCUGAACUUUCUAAAGUGUGGGAGCAGAUUGAUCAAAUGAAGGAGCAGCCCUGGGUUUCUGUACAGCCUCGUAAGUUGCGGCAAAAUUUGGAUGGGUUGUUGAACCAGCUAAAAAAUUUUCCUGCCCGUUUGCGACAGUAUGCUUCCUAUGAAUAUGUUCAAAGACUCCUAAAGGGUUAUAUGAAGGUUAAUAUGCUUGUCAUUGAACUGAAAUCGGAAGCCCUGAAAGACCGCCACUGGAAGCAGCUCAUGAAGAGACUUCAUGUGAACUGGGUUGUGUCUGAGCUUACACUAGGACAAAUCUGGGAUGUAGAUCUGCAAAGAAAUGAAGCAAUUGUUAAGGAUGUACUGCUUGUUGCACAAGGAGAAAUGGCACUGGAAGAAUUCUUAAAACAGAUUCGGGAAGUGUGGAAUGCAUAUGAAUUGGAUCUAGUCAAUUAUCAGAACAAAUGCCGCCUUAUUCGUGGCUGGGAUGAUUUGUUCAACAAAGUUAAGGAGCACAUCAACAGCGUCUCUGCUAUGAAGCUUUCUCCAUACUACAAAGUUUUUGAAGAGGAUGCUUUGAGCUGGGAGGACAAAUUGAAUCGAAUUAUGGCUCUUUUCGAUGUGUGGAUUGAUGUUCAGAGGCGAUGGGUAUAUCUUGAAGGAAUCUUUACUGGAAGUGCAGAUAUCAAGCACCUUCUUCCUGUUGAAACACAACGGUUUCAGAGCAUCAGUACAGAAUUUCUGGCACUUAUGAAGAAAGUCACCAAGUCUCCUCUUGUCAUGGAUGUCCUGAACAUACAAGGCGUGCAGCGAUCUCUUGAGAGACUGGCUGACUUGCUAGGCAAGAUCCAGAAAGCUUUGGGAGAAUAUCUGGAAAGAGAGCGUUCAUCAUUCCCCCGAUUCUACUUUGUUGGAGAUGAAGACUUGUUAGAGAUCAUAGGCAACAGCAAGAAUGUGGCCAAGCUACAAAAACACUUUAAGAAAAUGUUUGCAGGUGUGUCUAGCAUCAUCUUGAAUGAAGACAGCUCUGUAGUCCUGGGAAUAUCUUCACGAGAAGGCGAAGAGGUGAUCUUUAAGACACCAGUAUCCAUCACUGAACAUCCAAAGAUCAAUGAAUGGCUCACUUUAGUGGAAAAAGAAAUGAGGGUGACCCUGGCAAAAUUGCUUGCAGAAUCAGUCACAGAAGUAGAGAUAUUUGGCAAAUCCACCUCAAUUGAUCCUGCUACUUAUAUCACAUGGAUUGACAAAUACCAGGCCCAGCUUGUAGUUCUCUCUGCUCAGAUUGCCUGGUCAGAGAAUGUGGAAUCUGCUCUCAGCAGCGCAGCAGUGGGUGGUGGGGAUUCAAGCCCCUUGCAGUCUGUUCAGACUAAUGUUGAGGCAACUCUUAAUGUGUUGGCUGAUUCUGUGCUGAUGGAACAACCUCCACUGCGCAGAAGAAAACUGGAACAUUUGAUAACAGAAUUGGUUCACCAGCGUGAUGUUACACGAACCCUGAUGAAAAUCAAGAUUGACUCCAAAUCUUUUGAAUGGCUAAGCCAAAUGAGAUUCUAUUUUGAUCCUAAACAGACAGAUGUUUUGCAGCAGCUUUCCAUCCAGAUGGCCAACGCAAAGUUCAAUUAUGGCUUUGAAUAUCUAGGUGUGCAAGAUAAACUUGUGCAAACACCACUUACAGACCGCUGCUACCUGACAAUGACACAGGCUCUAGAGGCAAGACUUGGCGGGUCUCCAUUUGGUCCCGCUGGUACUGGGAAAACAGAGUCUGUUAAAGCCCUUGGACAUCAGCUUGGGCGCUUUGUGCUGGUGUUUAACUGUGACGAGACUUUUGACUUCCAGGCUAUGGGCCGCAUAUUUGUUGGGCUUUGUCAAGUUGGUGCCUGGGGAUGCUUUGAUGAGUUCAACAGACUUGAAGAGCGCAUGUUGUCUGCAGUUUCUCAGCAAGUUCAAUGCAUCCAGGAAGCCUUGCGAGAACAUUCCAAUCCAAACAGGGACAAAACACAUACUAUCACAUGUGAACUGCUCAACAAGCAAGUCAAAGUCAGCCCCGACAUGGCCAUCUUUAUAACCAUGAAUCCUGGGUAUGCUGGAAGAUCUAACUUGCCUGACAACUUGAAAAAGCUUUUCAGAAGCUUGGCCAUGACUAAACCAGAUCGCCAGUUGAUUGCACAGGUCAUGUUGUAUUCCCAAGGCUUCCGUACUGCAGAGGUGCUUGCAAACAAGAUUGUGCCAUUCUUCAAGUUGUGUGAUGAGCAGUUAUCCUCCCAAAGCCAUUAUGAUUUUGGACUGCGAGCUUUAAAAAGUGUGUUGGUAAGUGCUGGAAAUGUCAAGAGGGAGAGAAUUCAAAAGAUCAAAAAGGAAAAACAGGAACGUGGAGAAGUUGUUGAUGAAGGCGAAGUUGCUGAGAACUUACCGGAACAGGAGAUUUUGAUCCAAAGUGUCUGUGAAACAAUGGUGCCCAAACUUGUUGCAGAAGAUAUUCCACUAUUGUUUAGUCUUUUGUCUGAUGUUUUCCCUGGAGUUCAGUACCAUCGUGGAGAAAUGACUGCACUGAGAGAGGAACUGAAGAAAGUUUGCCAGGAAAUGUAUCUAACAUAUGGAGAUGGAGAGGAAGUUGGAGGCAUGUGGGUAGAAAAGGUUCUUCAGCUUUAUCAAAUAACACAAAUUAAUCAUGGCUUAAUGAUGGUGGGUCCCUCUGGAAGUGGUAAAAGCAUGGCAUGGAGAGUGUUACUGAAGGCUUUGGAGAGGUUGGAAGGGGUUGAAGGUGUGGCCCAUAUAAUUGACCCAAAAGCAAUUAGCAAAGACCAUUUAUAUGGCACUCUUGAUCCAAACACAAGAGAGUGGACGGAUGGAUUGUUUACUCAUGUCCUGAGAAAGAUCAUUGACAACGUGCGAGGAGAACUACAGAAACGUCAGUGGAUUAUAUUUGAUGGUGAUGUAGAUCCUGAAUGGGUUGAAAACCUGAACUCUGUCUUGGAUGAUAACAAACUUCUGACCCUUCCCAAUGGAGAACGUCUCAGCCUUCCACCUAAUGUGCGAAUCAUGUUUGAAGUACAGGAUCUAAAGUAUGCUACUCUGGCAACUGUGUCAAGGUGUGGAAUGGUUUGGUUCAGUGAGGAUGUUUUGAGUACAGACAUGAUCUUCAAUAACUUCCUUGCCCGCAUGCGUAGCAUACCUUUGGAUGAGGGUGAAGAUGAAGCACAAAGGAGGAGGAAGGGUAUAGAAGAUGAGGGAGAAGAAUCUUCUUCCCCAAUGUUACAGAUCCAACGUGAUGCAGCAACUGUUUUACAACCAUAUUUCACAUCCAAUGGUCUAGUGAUCAAAGCUCUUGAACAUGCUUUUAAAUUGGAGCACAUCAUGGAUCUCACCCGCCUUCGUUGUCUGGGUUCUUUGUUCUCCAUGUUGCACCAAGCUUGUCGGAAUAUUGCUCAGUACAAUGCCAACCAUCCAGAUUUUCCAAUGCAAAUUGAUCAGCUGGAAAGAUACAUUCAGCGCUACCUUAUUUAUGCCAUUUUGUGGUCUUUCUCUGGAGAUGGACGUCUAAAAAUGAGAGCAGAACUUGGCGAAUACAUAAGGAGAAUAACAACUGUACCCCUCCCAUCUGCACCCAAUAUACCUAUAAUUGAUUAUGAGGUAUCAAUCACUGGUGAGUGGCAACCUUGGCAGUGUAAAGUUCCUCAGAUUGAAGUUGAAACUCACAAAGUUGCUGCCCCUGAUGUGGUUGUACCCACUCUGGAUACUGUUCGACAUGAAGCUCUGCUCUACACAUGGCUCGCAGAACAUAAGCCACUUGUCCUUUGUGGUCCUCCUGGCUCUGGCAAAACAAUGACACUCUUCAGUGCCUUGCGAGCACUCCCUGAUAUGGAGGUUGUAGGAUUGAACUUUUCUAGUGCUACUACCCCAGAACUGCUUCUGAAAACAUUUGACCACUAUUGUGAAUACAGACGUACACCAAAUGGUGUUGUUCUGGCACCUGUGCAGCUUGGGAAGUGGUUGGUGCUGUUCUGUGAUGAGAUAAAUUUGCCAGACAUGGACAAAUAUGGAACACAGAGAGUUAUAUCUUUCAUCCGACAGAUGGUCGAACAUGGAGGAUUCUAUAGGACCUCUGAUCAAACAUGGGUAAAGUUAGAAAGAAUUCAGUUUGUAGGAGCCUGCAACCCACCUACGGACCCUGGAAGAAAGCCCUUGUCUCAUAGGUUCCUGCGCCAUGUGCCGGUGGUGUAUGUGGAUUAUCCUGGUCCUGCAUCAUUGACGCAGAUAUAUGGAACGUUUAACCGUGCAAUGCUGAGACUUAUUCCUUCUUUGCGAACUUAUGCAGAGCCUCUUACAGCUGCAAUGGUGGAGUUUUACACCAUGUCACAGGAGAGAUUUACACAAGACAUUCAACCACACUAUAUAUAUUCACCUCGUGAAAUGACCCGUUGGGUGAGAGGAAUUUUUGAGGCAUUAAGACCACUAGAAACAUUGCCAGUUGAAGGACUGAUAAGAAUUUGGGCACAUGAAGCUCUUCGUCUUUUCCAGGACAGACUUGUUGAAGAUGAAGAAAGGCGCUGGACUGAUGAGAAUAUUGAUACAGUAGCCUUGAAACACUUCCCCAACGUUGAGAAAGACAAAGCUUUGAACAGACCAAUUCUCUACAGCAACUGGCUUUCAAAGGAUUAUAUACCAGUUGAUCAGGAGGAGCUGAGAGAUUAUGUUAAAGCACGUUUAAAAGUUUUCUAUGAAGAAGAACUGGAUGUGCCACUUGUAUUGUUCAAUGAAGUACUAGAUCAUGUCCUCAGAAUUGACAGAAUUUUCCGCCAACCCCAAGGUCAUUUACUGCUUAUUGGGGUGAGUGGAGCUGGCAAGACUACGCUUUCACGUUUUGUUGCUUGGAUGAACGGCUUAAGUGUUUACCAGAUUAAGGUUCACAGAAAAUAUACUGGAGAAGAUUUUGAUGAAGACCUCAGAACUGUACUGAGGCGUUCUGGCUGUAAAAAUGAGAAGAUAGCUUUUAUAAUGGAUGAAUCGAAUGUGUUGGAUUCUGGCUUCUUGGAGCGCAUGAACACAUUGCUGGCCAAUGGAGAGGUUCCUGGAUUAUUUGAGGGUGAUGAAUAUGCUACCUUAAUGACACAAUGUAAAGAAGGUGCACAAAAGGAAGGCUUGAUGCUGGAUUCGCAUGAAGAACUGUACAAAUGGUUUACCAGCCAGGUCAUCCGCAACCUCCAUGUAGUCUUUACUAUGAAUCCAUCCUCGGAAGGACUGAAAGACAGAGCUGCUACAUCUCCAGCCCUCUUCAACAGGUGUGUGUUGAAUUGGUUUGGCGAUUGGUCAACAGAAGCCUUAUACCAAGUUGGAAAGGAAUUUACAAGCAAGAUGGAUCUUGAAAAGCCCAAUUAUAUUGUGCCAGACUACAUGCCAGUGGUAUAUGACAAGCUACCACAACCACCUUCUCACAGGGAAGCUAUUGUCAAUGGCUGUGUAUUUGUGCAUCAAACCCUUCAUCAGGCGAAUGCUCGACUUGCAAAGAGAGGAGGCAGAACUAUGGCAAUCACGCCACGCCAUUAUCUUGAUUUUAUCAACCACUAUGCAGAUUUGUUUAAUGAAAAACGCAGUGAACUGGAAGAGCAGCAGAUGCAUUUGAAUGUAGGUCUACGGAAGAUCAAAGAAACUGUUGAUCAGGUUGAAGAGUUGCGUCGUGAUUUGAGAAUAAAAAGCCAGGAGCUUGAAGUAAAAAAUGCUGCAGCCAAUGACAAACUAAAGAAAAUGGUGAAAGAUCAACAAGAAGCUGAAAAGAAAAAGGUGAUGAGCCAAGAAAUCCAGGAACAGUUGCACAAACAACAGGCAAUUAUUGCAGAUAAACAAAUGAGUGUAAAGGAGGAUUUAGAUCAAGUAGAGCCUGCUGUUAUUGAAGCUCAAAAUGCUGUAAAAUCAAUAAAGAAGCAGCACCUGGUAGAGGUCCGUUCCAUGGCUAAUCCACCAGCAGCAGUGAAGCUAGCCCUAGAAUCCAUUUGUCUGCUGCUUGGUGAGAGUACCACGGACUGGAAGCAGAUACGUUCCAUCAUAAUGAGGGAAAACUUCAUUCCAACUAUUGUAAACUUUUCCGCAGAAGAGAUCAGUGAUGCUAUUCGUGAAAAGAUGAAGAAGAACUACCUAUCAAACCCAAGCUUCAAUUAUGAACUUGUGAACAGAGCUUCCUUGGCUUGUGGCCCCAUGGUAAAAUGGGCAAUAGCUCAGCUAAACUAUGCUGACAUGUUGAAGCGCGUGGAGCCUCUGCGAAAUGAGUUACAGAAGCUUGAAGAUGAUGCUAAAGACAACCAACAAAAAGCCAAUGAAGUUGAACAGAUGAUUCGUGAUCUUGAAGCAAGCAUUGCACGUUACAAGGAGGAAUAUGCUGUGCUCAUUUCUGAGGCUCAGGCUAUCAAAGCAGAUUUAGCAGCUGUAGAAGCCAAGGUAAACCGCAGCACGGCUCUCUUGAAAAGUCUGUCUGCUGAACGUGAUAGAUGGGAAAAAACAAGUGAAACCUUCAAAAAUCAGAUGUCCACUAUUGCAGGCGAUUGCUUGCUGUCCGCAGCUUUUAUUGCCUAUGCUGGCUACUUUGACCAACAGAUGCGACAAAACUUGUUCACAACCUGGUCACAUCACCUGCAGCAAGCCAAUGUCCAGUUCCGCACAGACAUUGCAAGAACUGAAUAUCUGUCCAAUGCAGAUGAGAGACUACGCUGGCAAGCAAACUCUCUACCUGCAGAUGAUUUGUGCACAGAAAAUGCCAUUAUGUUGAAAAGAUUUAACAGGUAUCCUCUGAUCAUAGAUCCAUCAGGUCAAGCAACAGAAUUUAUCAUGAAUGAGUACAAGGAUCGCAAAAUAACGCGCACAAGCUUUUUGGAUGAUGCUUUCAGAAAGAACUUGGAAAGUGCGCUGAGAUUUGGUAACCCACUCCUUGUUCAGGAUGUUGAGAGCUAUGAUCCAAUUCUGAAUCCUGUACUGAAUCGGGAAGUCCGGAGAACUGGAGGCAGAGUGUUGAUUACUCUGGGAGACCAAGACAUUGAUUUGUCUCCAUCCUUUGUUAUCUUUCUUUCAACCAGAGAUCCAACAGUUGAGUUUCCACCAGACCUCUGCUCUCGUGUGACAUUCGUUAACUUCACAGUGACACGCAGCAGCUUACAGAGCCAGUGUCUGAAUGAAGUCCUUAAAGCUGAAAGGCCUGAUGUAGAUGAGAAACGUUCAGAUCUCCUUAAACUGCAAGGUGAAUUCCAGCUUCGUUUGCGCCAACUGGAGAAGUCGCUGCUACAGGCUCUUAAUGAGGUGAAGGGCCGUAUUUUGGAUGAUGACACCAUUAUUACCACACUGGAGAACCUAAAGAAAGAGGCAGCAGAAGUCACACGUAAAGUUGAAGAAACGGAUAUUGUUAUGCAGGAGGUUGAGUCUGUCUCUCACCAGUAUUUGCCUCUCUCCACUGCAUGUAGCAGCAUUUACUUUACUAUGGAGUCACUCAAGCAAAUCCAUUUCCUGUACCAGUAUUCUCUUCAGUUUUUCUUGGAUAUUUACCAUACAGUACUGUAUGAGAACGCUAAUCUGAAGGGAACCAUAGAUCAUACUCAGCGCCUCUCUGUCAUCACCAAGGACCUUUUCCAGGUUGCUUUCAAUAGAGUUGCCCGGGGUAUGCUUCACCAGGACCACAUAACCUUUGCCAUGCUUCUUGCAAGAAUAAAACUAAAAGGAACUAUUGGGGAGCCUGCAUAUGACCUUGAAUUUCAACAUUUCCUAAGAGGAAAGCAGAUUGUGCUUGGUUCAACUUUUGUACCCAAAAUCAGUGGAUUAACUGAAGAGCAAGUAGAAGCCAUGAUGCGACUUAGCAACUUGUCUGCAUUUAAGGAUGUGAUCUCAAAGGUUGAGGCUGAUGAACAAUUCUGCAUAUGGUUAGACAGCAGCUCUCCUGAACAAACCGUGCCAUACAUUUGGAGUGAAGAUAAACCUGCAACACCAAUUGGACAAGCUGUUCAUCGCUUGCUGCUCAUACAAGCUUUCCGCCCAGAUCGACUCCUGGCCAUGGCACAUAUUUUUGUUUCUACAGUUCUUGGAGAUUCUUUCAUGUCAAUUAUAGACCAGCCUAUAGACUUGGCACAUAUUGUAGACACAGAGGUUAAACCUAACACCCCAGUCCUCAUGUGUUCAGUACCAGGAUAUGAUGCCAGUGGACGAGUCGAAGACUUGGCAGCUGAGCAGAACACUCAGAUUACAUCAAUUGCUAUUGGUUCCGCCGAAGGCUUUAAUCAAGCAGAAAAAGCUAUAAAUACAGCUGUAAAAUCGGGAAGGUGGGUAAUGCUGAAGAAUGUUCACUUGGCACCUGGGUGGUUGAUGCAACUUGAAAAGAAACUGCAUUCUCUGCAGCCGCAUGCUUGCUUCAGGCUCUUCUUGACCAUGGAGAUUAAUCCCAAGGUGCCUGUAAAUCUGCUGCGAGCUGGACGCAUCUUUGUCUUUGAACCACCACCUGGUGUAAAGGCCAACAUGCUGAGAACAUUCAGUAGUAUCCCUGUUUCGAGGAUUUGUAAAUCUCCCAAUGAGCGUGCUCGAUUAUACUUCCUCCUGGCCUGGUUUCAUGCUAUUAUCCAAGAACGUCUGCGCUAUGCUCCUUUGGGCUGGUCUAAGAAGUAUGAAUUUGGUGAAUCGGAUCUCAGAUCUGCUUGUGACACUGUGGACACAUGGCUUGAUGACACUGCGAAGGGCCGUCAGAACAUUUCACCAGAUAAAAUUCCAUGGUCAGCCCUAAAAACUUUGAUGGCACAGUCUAUUUAUGGAGGGCGGAUUGAUAAUGAAUUUGACCAAAGGCUACUAAACACAUUCCUUGAACGACUCUUUACAACUUCAAGUUUUGACAGCGAGUUUAAAUUAGCUUGUAAGGUUGAUGGGCACAAGGAUAUCCAAAUGCCAGAUGGCAUCAGGCGUGAUGAAUUUGUUCAGUGGGUGGAGACUCUCCCAGAUACCCAGACACCCUCCUGGCUUGGACUGCCUAACAAUGCAGAAAGAGUUCUUCUCACAACACAGGGCAUUGACAUGAUCGGUAAAAUGCUGAAAAUGCAAAUGCUGGAGGAUGAGGAUGACUUAGCUUAUGCAGAAACUGAGAAGAAACAAAGAACAGACUCCACAUCUGACGGCCGCCCAGCCUGGAUGAGAACUUUACACAUAACUGCCUGCAACUGGCUUCAAGUCAUCCCACAAGCACUCAAUCAUCUAAAACGUACAGUGGAAAACAUAAAGGAUCCCCUGUUUAGAUUCUUUGAAAGAGAAGUAAAGAUGGGUGCAAAGUUGCUCCACGAUGUGCGACAGGAUCUUACUGAUGUUGUUCAAGUGUGUGAGGGAAAGAAGAAGCAAACUAAUUAUUUGCGUACUCUGAUCAACGAGCUUGUAAAAGGAAUACUGCCUCACAGCUGGUCCCGUUUUACUGUUCCUGCUGGGCUGACUGUCAUACAAUGGGUAGCAGAUUUUAGCGAGCGAGUUAAGCAACUGCAGAAUAUUUCUCAAGCCGCAGCGAACGGCGGAGCAAAGGAACUGAAGAACCUUCAUGUGUGGAUUGGUGGUUUGUUUGUGCCUGAAGCUUACAUCACAGCAACAAGGCAGUAUGUAGCACAGGCAAACAGCUGGUCUCUUGAAGAGCUGUGUCUGGAAGUUAGUGUUACAACUGUCCAAAAUACUGUAUUGGAUGCUUAUAGCUUUGGAGUGACAGGCCUGAAACUUCAAGGAGCAACUUGUACUAAUAACAAACUGAGCCUCUCCAAUGCCAUCUCUACGGUGUUGCCCAUUACACAGCUGCGCUGGACCAAGCAGACACAUACUGAGAAAAAGGCCAAUGUGGUGACACUACCAGUUUAUCUGAAUUUCACCCGCGCUGACUUGAUUUUUACCGUUGAUUUCGAAAUAGCCACCAAGGAAGAUCCCCACAGUUUCUAUGAACGGGGAGUGGCUAUCCUAAGCACAGAGUAAAGAUGAAGAAAGUCUUUGUGUGGGCAAUUUUAGUUGCUUUCUGUUAGUAGCCAGUAAUUAAUGUAGAUGACUUUGAGAGACGGUUAAAGUACUGAAGGUGUUGUGCAAUGUACCCAGAAGGUAAAGAUGUGUGAAACAUUAUUUUGAGGGCCUUGGAAAGUGGAUAAGAGAAGUUUUUAUAACAUUUGCAGUAAGAUAGUUCUAGGUAAGUGAAAGAAGAAAAUGGGUAGGUUUAUAUUAAGAAGGAAAAAGUGUGUUCAGAUAUUAACCUUUUACAUUGUCAAUCUAUGCAUGUUUUAAGCUAAUAAAUGUCUAAAGCAAUUCAUUGUACCUAUUUCUUCUCAUUAAAGUGGCAAAGUAUCCCUAAAA